AACUUAGAACGAAGCAGAAAUUUCCUGACAGUUAGAACAAUUAAUCAAUGGAACAGCGGUUGCCCUCGGAGGUUAUGGGAGCGCCAUCCCUUGAGACUUUCAAGAAGAGCUUGGACUCCCAUCUGUCAGAAAUGGUGUAGGGUCUCCUGCUUGGGCAGGGG